rnacentral:rRNA from 1 species
UGCAAGUCGAACGGUAACAGGCCCGCAAGGGUGCUGACGAGUGGCGGACGGGUGAGGAAUACAUCGGAAUUUGCCCAGUCGUGGGGGAUAACGUAGGGAAACUUACGCUAAUACCGCAUACGACGGUGACGUGAAAGCGGGGGAUCAGCAAUGACCUCGCGCGGAUGGAUAAGCCGAUGUCGGAUUAGCUAGUUGGCGGGGUAAGAGCCCACCAAGGCGACGAUCCGUAGCUGGUCUGAGAGGAUGAUCAGCCACACAGGGACUGAGACACGGCCCGGACUCCUACGGGAGGCAGCAGUGGGGAAUAUUGGACAAUGGGGGCAACCCUGAUCCAGCAAUGCCGCGUGUGUGAAGAAGGCCUUCGGGUUGUAAAGCACUUUUAUCCGGAACGAAACGCGCAGGGCGAAUACCCUUGCGAACUGACGGUACCGGAGGAAUAAGCACCGGCUAACUUCGUGCCAGCAGCCGCGGUAAUACGAAGGGUGCAAGCGUUACUCGGAAUUACUGGGCGUAAAGGGUGCGUAGGUGGUUUUUUAAGUCCGUUGUGAAAUCCCUGGGCUCAACCUGGGAAUGGCAGUGGAUACUGGAAAGCUAGAGUGCGGUAGAGGGUAGUGGAAUUCCCGGUGUAGCAGUGAAAUGCGUAGAGAUCGGGAGGAACACCAGUGGCGAAGGCGGCUACCUGGACCAGCACUGACACUGAGGCACGAAAG